GACCAAAUAUGGAUUUCCAGAGGCCUGGCACCUAAGGUCAGAAAAGUGGAAAUCUGCCCAAAGACCUGCUCUGACCAUAAUGCAGUAAAGAUGGAUAUGACACUACUACCAACUGGAUCCUUUAGAUGGAAGAUGAAUGACAAUUUGUUUAGAGAUCAGGAAAUUACCAAGAAGGCCCAAAAAGUUUUGAAGGACUAUUUUGAGAUAAAUAUGAACAAUUCGGUGGAAAAAAGAAUUGUCUGGGACGCAAGCAAAGCUGUAAUGAGGGGAUUCUUGAUACAACAGAAUGUAGUAAAGAAAAGAACACAAAAUGAGAAAAAAGAUAAGAUCUUGGACAAAUUAAAAGAAUUAGAGAAGAAAUUAAG